CUUACUCUGGAAGCCUGUUUCAUAGGCUAUGUAUGGGGGAUGUGCUCCCUAUCCCUCUGGCUAGGGGAAAGUCCCCGGACCUUGGACAAAGAGUGCCAUAUGCACACGUGAGUGUUAGUCCGCCAGGAGGAGAUCCACCCCCCUUCCUCUGGGGUGAGCGGCAUGUGCAUCAUGCAUCAGCUCUCCUCGUAAUUUAGUAGGGAUGUGUGUGGGCUGCAUGUCUAUGUGGGAAUACAUGAGAUGUAUAUGUAUGUGAAUAUAUGUAUAUGAGUAUAUAUGUAUUUAGAGUGC
rnacentral:lncRNA from 1 species